rnacentral:sRNA from 1 species
ACUCAACGUUAAUGCUCUUAAAAAGGGUGAGUUUUAAUUGUAAAAGCAAGCUGUUAGUGCCAGUUUAUUCUGGUAUUUAGGACAGAUCCUUGAUCAAUUAGUUAGCCCUAAACUUGUUUUAAGGAGUUU